GCUGGCGGCAGGCUUACACAUGCAAGUCGAGCGGGGUGAUGGUGCUUGCACUAUCACUUAGCGGCGGACGGGUGAGUAAUGCUUAGGAAUCUGCCUAUUAGUGGGGGACAACAUCUCGAAAGGGAUGCUAAUACCGCAUACGUCCUACGGGAGAAAGCAGGGGAUCACUUGUGACCUUGCGCUAAUAGAUGAGCCUAAGUCGGAUUAGCUAGUUGGUGGGGUAAAGGCCUACCAAGGCGACGAUCUGUAGCGGGUCUGAGAGGAUGAUCCGCCACACUGGGACUGAGACACGGCCCAGACUCCUACGGGAGGCAGCAGUGGGGAAUAUUGGACAAUGGGGGGAACCCUGAUCCAGCCAUGCCGCGUGUGUGAAGAAGGCCUUAUGGUUGUAAAGCACUUUAAGCGAGGAGGAGGCUCUUUUGGUUAAUACCCAAGAUGAGUGGACGUUACUCGCAGAAUAAGCACCGGCUAACUCUGUGCCAGCAGCCGCGGUAAUACAGAGGGUGCAAGCGUUAAUCGGAUUUACUGGGCGUAAAGCGCGCGUAGGCGGCCAAUUAAGUCAAAUGUGAAAUCCCCGAGCUUAACUUGGGAAUUGCAUUCGAUACUGGUUGGCUAGAGUGUGGGAGAGGAUGGUAGAAUUCCAGGUGUAGCGGUGAAAUGCGUAGAGAUCUGGAGGAAUACCGAUGGCGAAGGCAGCCAUCUGGCCUAACACUGACGCUGAGGUGCGAAAGCAUGGGGAGCAAACAGGAUUAGAUACCCUGGUAGUCCAUGCCGUAAACGAUGUCUACUAGCCGUUGGGGCCUUUGAGGCUUUAGUGGCGCAGCUAACGCGAUAAGUAGACCGCCUGGGGAGUACGGUCGCAAGACUAAAACUCAAAUGAAUUGACGGGGGGCCCGCACAAGCGGUGGAGCAUGUGGUUUAAUUCGAUGCAACGCGAAGAACCCUUACCUGGCCUUGACAUAGUAGAAACUUUCCAGAGAUGGAUUGGUGCCUUCGGGAAUCUACAUACAGGUGCUGCAUGGCUGUCGUCAGCUCGUGUCGUGAGAUGUUGGGU
rnacentral:rRNA from 1 species